CGGCGGACGGGUGAGUAACGCGUGGGUAACCUGCCUCAUACAGGGGGAUAACAGUUAGAAAUGACUGCUAAUACCGCAUAAGACCACGGUACCGCAUGGUACAGUGGUAAAACUCCGGUGGUAUGAGAUGGACCCGCGUCUGAUUAGGUAGUUGGUGGGGUAACGGCCUACCAAGCCGACGAUCAGUAGCCGACCUGAGAGGGUGACCGGCCACAUUGGGACUGAGACACGGCCCAA
rnacentral:rRNA from 1 species